AACGAACGCUGGCGGCAGGCCUAACACAUGCAAGUCGAGCGGACCUUUCGGGGUCAGCGGCGGACGGGUGCGUAACGCGUGGGAAUAUGCCCUUCUCUACGGAAUAGUCCUGGGAAACUGGGGGUAAUACCGUAUACGCUCUUUGGGGGAAAGAUUUAUCGGGGAAGGAUUAGCCCGCGUUGGAUUAGGUAGUUGGUGGGGUAAUGGCCUACCAAGCCGACGAUCCAUAGCUGGUUUGAGAGGAUGAUCAGCCACACUGGGACUGAGACACGGCCCAGACUCCUACGGGAGGCAGCAGUGGGGAAUCUUAGACAAUGGGGGCAACCCUGAUCUAGCCAUGCCGCGUGAGUGAUGAAGGCCUUAGGGUUGUAAAGCUCUUUCAGCUGGGAAGAUAAUGACGGUACCAGCAGAAGAAGCCCCGGCUAACUCCGUG
rnacentral:rRNA from 1 species